rnacentral:tRNA from 1 species
UCCCAGGUGGUCCAGUGGUUAAGACUCUGCACUUCCACUGCAGGAGAUACAGGUUUGAUCCCAGAUCAGGGAA